rnacentral:rRNA from 1 species
UACGGAGGGUGCAAGCGUUGUCCGGAUUUACUGGGUUUAAAGGGUGCGUAGGUGGUCAGUUAAGUCGGUGGUGAAAUCUCCGAGCUUAACUCGGAAACUGCCAUUGAUACUAUCUGUCUUGAAUAUCCUGGAGGUAAGCGGAAUAUGUCAUGUAGCGGUGAAAUGCUUAGAUAUGACAUAGAACACCAAUUGCGAAGGCAGCUUACUACGGGAUUAUUGACACUGAGGCACGAAAGCGUGGGGAUCAAACAGG